rnacentral:snRNA from 1 species
AUGCUCAUUUCAGCAGUACGUAUGCUAAAAUUGGAAUGAUACAGAGAUCAGUAUGGGCCUUACACAAGAUGAUAUGCAAAUUGAUGAAGACUUCCACAUCUUU